GACGAACGCUGGCGGCGUGCCUAAUACAUGCAAGUCGAACGAGAGCAACCGGUGCGUGCCCUGGUCAAUGCAGUGGCGAACGGGAGAGUAACACGUGGUUAACCUGCCCAUCAGAGGGGGAUACCAUCCGGAGACGGAUGCUAAAAACGCAUAGGUCUUCGAACCGCAGGGUUUGAAGGGGAAAAGAGGCGCAAGCUGCUGCGGAUGGGUGGACCCGCGGUGCAUUAGCUCGUUGGUGAGGUAACGGCUCACCAAGGCCGGUAUGCAUAGCCGACCUGAGAGGGUGAUCGGCCACCUUGGGACUGAGACACGGCCCAAACUCCUACGGGACGCAGCGGUACGGACUCUUCCGCAAUGGACGCAAGUCUGACGGAGCACAGCCGCGUGAGUUAAGAAGGUUUUCCGAUCGUAGAACUCUGCUGUUAGUGGAGAACAAGUGCUCGAGUAACUGUUAGCGUCUUGACGGUACCUAACCAGAAAGCCCCGGCUAACUCCGUG
rnacentral:rRNA from 1 species